CCUCUUCCUCCUUCUUCGGCUCAGCCUUCUUCCCCAGCUCCUCCGCGGUCCCUAGCCGCUCCAGGACCAACUCAGCCGGACUGGACUCGUCGGCGUUGUCGUGGGAUGGCGCCUCUUUAACCGGGCCUCUGGGCGUACUUAGCUUGCUGCAAAAGGAACCGCUCGUGACAUCAGGAGUUCCCUUUAAUAACGCAGAAAAACUCAGACAACACGGCACCUUCAGGGCAUGUUGUGAUCUGUGGGGGACACCGGAGUACCCGGAGGAAACCCACGCAUGCAUGGGGAGAACGCGCAACUCCACGCAGAAAGGCCGCAGCUGAGUUUCGAACCUGCAACCUUCGUGCUGCGAGGCAACAGUGCUAACAACUGCGCCACCGUGCAGCCAAUACUAUACUAUAUUACUAUAGAUGUAUAUUAGUAUGUUGUGUACCUUAUGCUGCAGUUCUGAAAAUGCAAGUUUCCUUUUUAUUUGUUGCUUUAGUGGUUGAAGAUUACGAUAACAGCUUACUGCAUGUGCUUUACUGUAAUCGUAUUAUUAUUUUCUUCUUUAUUAUCUCUAUGUGCUAACGAGUGAAAUUCCCUAUGGGAUCAAUAAAGUCUGUUUUCGAUUCUA